AGACUUGCUAUUUGGAUCAAUACACAGGACUAGACGGGGAGCUUUUGUACGAUGUUGGAUGUAGGUCAAAAGAGGUUGGUUUUCUAUUAUUUAAUAAUAGUCAGUACAGAAUCUACAAUAAUCGUGCUAUUUUAACAAUGUAAAAACGGUAAAAUAAAAGUAAUGAGUCAUCAAGAAAAUAGGAACUCUACUUAAUUAUUAUUCAUAUUAUUAGAUUUUCUUAAACUCUAAAUUCCAUAUGUAUUUGAAGCUUUGUACUAAUGCAACACCUGGACUUCGAUCGACAGCUCAGGCAGGGACAAAGACAUGUUCUAGAUGUUGUUCCGGUGACUUGUGUAAUGCAGAAGGAUGUGGAGAAAAAGGUAUACUUUAUCUUUUUUUUACAGCAAAAUGCCUUGAUUGUGUAGGUAAAGGUAAUAUGUUUGUAAUCUCGCUUACUACCUGAACCGUGAAGUCAAUGAUACGUUAGGUAUGCUACCCUUCAUUUAGAGUAGACUAGACCAAUCUCAAUCUUCUCUGAUUGCGUUAUACUACAUAUGUAACGUAUAUAAUACUACAUACGUAUGUAGUAUAACGAAAUCAUGGAUCUAUAUUUUAAUAAUAUUGAACCAAUCUAUCUUACUGUAUGACUUCACUACUCUGAAAGGAGGCUAAUAUACCUGACCUAAUAAUGAUUUCACCGUUCAGCUAGCACGCACGCUUACCUCCAUAAGAAGCGCUCAAAAAAUCGAAAGCCAAACACUUGAAAACUGAUUUGUAAGGUUAUAUGACAAACUGGACCUACAGAGAAAAAAUAAUUAAUGCACCUAAGGUCAACUUUGGGCAUAGGAUCAUUAUUAAAGAUCGUUACAAUACAUUAAAAGACGGGGACAAUAUGAAUAUCAACCAAUUAAAACUGUUCAACCAGUCUUUCUGCUGCUCAUAAUAUAGAAUUGUCAACUAUUCAACUGUAGUAUUCUAAUAACAUUAUAGGUAUCUCUUUUUAUUCAGGUUUCCCUACGUAUAGAGGUCCUAUUUGUUAUAACUGUCAACAGGCACGGAAUCCUGAGAAGUGUGACUCGAUUACUGUAUGUGGGAGAGAUGAUGUAGGUA
rnacentral:lncRNA from 1 species